UUGGAGGGCAAGUCUGGUGCCAGCAGCCGCGGUAAUUCCAGCUCCAAUAGCGUAUAUUAAAGUUGUUGCAGUUAAAAAGCUCGUAGUUGAACUUCGGGGUUUACCCAUUGGUCAGGCUUAAUUGUCUGUACUGGUGAGAUAAAUCUCUACCUUCUGAGGAACUUUCAUGCCAUUUAUUUGGUGUGAUUGGAAAUCAGGACUAUUACUUUGAAAAAAUUAGAGUGUUUAAAGCAGGCUAACGUCUGAAUAUAUUAGCAUGGAAUAAUGAAAUAGGACGGCUUGGUUCUAUUUCGUUGGUUUCUAGGAUCACCGUAAUGGUUAAUAGGGAUAGUUGGGGGCAUUAGUAUUCAAUUGUCAGAGGUGAAAUUCUUGGAUUUAUUGAAGACUAACUACUGCGAAAGCAUUUGCCAAGGAUGUUUUCAUUAAUCAAGAACGAAAGUUAGGGGAUCGAAGACGAUCAGAUACCGUCGUAGUCUUAACCAUAAACUAUGCCGACUAGGGAUCGGACGAAGUUAAUUUUAUAAUGACGCGUUCGGCGCCUUACGGGAAAC
rnacentral:rRNA from 1 species